CCGAUUGCUUUGUUGUGAUUUUCUGGAAGAGGCCAAGGCAUUGGAAGGGCCGGCCAGCUGCAGGGUUGGCCUUGGGGAAAAUAUUUUUAAAGAGGAAAUUUCACAAUUUGGAAAGAUAAUGCCCUUUGCUAUCAAUCAUUUCGUUUUUAUUUACAUUUUCUCUUAGCAGCCGGUUUGUUAAAAGUGAAAGGAGGGGGGAAAGUGGGUUUUUUGUUAAAUUUCCCUCUUGAGACUUUUGGGCGUUUGGGUUUCGUUUUGUGCAGGGACAAGAGCAGGCCGGACUCGCCGGCCCGGCCUGGGCCGGGGAACGAGCGGCCGCCGGCUGUCCCUCUCUUCGCAGUCCGAGCAUCCCCGGCCCCUGGCGGGCAGCUGGGAUAGUUUGGGGGACCGAGGGGCGCUUGGGGAACCGGUUUGUUUCCCAGGCCUGGGAAGAGUGCGCCGCAACCCUCUGGUCCCUUGGGGGAAAGUGAGUUCUCUUUUCUUCUGACUGCCGCGGGCCAGAAGAACCACCUCCACCCUCACCCCCGCCCCGGGCAGCUUCCUCCCUCCGGAGUCCGACCUGGGCCGGCCGGCGCCGCGGCUGCUUUUCUGCUUUUCCCCGCGCCCUGCCUGUCUGCAGCCGGCGCUCUACCCAGUCUGCGCCGCAGGAGAGCGCGCCCGGGCAAGGGACCCGGAAGCCCCUUGAAAUUCGGCCCCGCGAGGGUCCUGGAGCCCACGCUCGGCCUCUCUGGGGCACCCAGAUGGGCGCUGGGGGCCGUUCCGGCUGCGAGCUCCGCACCGCAAACGCCGGCGGAGCCUGGGUCCCCGCGCGGGUCCCCGCGGCGCGCGCCGGUCCCUUCUCCCCAGCUUGGGCCGCAGGACUGAGCUGCCUGAAGCGCCGACAGAACCACCCACAGAAAAGUCCUAGUCGCUUUCGGGGAGUCGGAGACCCGGUGCCGUCUCACAGAAACUCCUGAGCUGGGCGCGAGCUCUGGUCUUCUGGUUUGGGAGCGCCUGCCCAAGGCUGCGGGGCCUUUUCCCGGGUUGCACGCAAAGCAACCCCAGCGACCUCCGGGACGCCGCCCGGAGCGGGCUUAGUGCAGACUCUGGCUUCGUCACCACCUGUACGGAGCGGGUAGCUUCCUGCGCCUCUGACCCUGAUGCCUGUGCGCCCCGAGAGCCUGGGAACGGGAGCUGGCACCCAGGAGGACCCCGGGGACGCCGCAGCCCCGCUCUCACUCUGGUCCAGCCGAGAGAGUCCGGGCUGGACCUGGUUUCUCGAGAAUCCUGGCCGACGGGACAGCUUGCCAACCCCAGGUUGUGGGACAGACACCGCUGCCCGCAGCCCCGCCAGGUGGGCGGGGAGGGCGCUCGUGGAGGUGGUGCGGCCGGGGUCCCACACACCCGUGCCCGCGGCUUGGGACCUGAAAACCAGGCUGCUGCUCACCGUCUCACCAGCACCAGCCACGUGCUCCUAGCCACUGUGACCCGCAAGCUUUGCCCUCCUUUGCCUCGCGUCUUCAGACAGGGUUCCUUGGGCCACCACACCCCGCUUGCUAGGACCUGCUCCGGCAGGGAAAGACCUAGAAACUUCCCUGCCUUGAGAUUCAGGCCUGGGACUGGCGGGAGACGAACUGGGAGUGUUCGUGCCUUCAUGUCCUCUCUUGGUAUUUUAUUAACAAAACCCCAAAACAAGCCCCUUCCCUUAAAAGUUUAAUGAGACCCCCUCCCCGGAGAAGAUACGCAGAGGCAGCAAAAUUCUGGAGCUGGGGCGCCAGGGGUCGAGGGCAGAAAGGAUUCCCCGACGUGUUGGACGCAGCCGAGUCACCCGCGGCGCGGGGUUAGUGAAGGGUGGGUGCCAGCAUGUGCUGCAUGUCCAGGCGAGGUGCGAGCCUCCUCGGAGGGACAAACGCCCCUCCCCAAGGUGCGCCCCCAGCUGUCUCCAGCGUUCUCCCGUGCAGCCGCGGGAUCCCAGGCGCGCUGCCGCCGGCUGGAGUCCUGGCGAAGCGCCGCGUGUCCGCCAGGCGGCGCUGCGGAGCCCGGAGGAGCGGGAAGGAGACCGGGAACCCGGGCAGUGCGCAGGCCGCCCGCUGGGUCGUCAUCCCGAGCCCCAGCGCCUCCGCUUUCGCACGGCUUCUGGGGCGCUGUCCGGGAGGCCCCUGCCUCUCGCUCCUUCUCUCCUGCUGCGAACCGUCUCCCCUGCUCUUCUCCACCGGCUCCAGCUGCUGCCUUUGUUUUCUCCUAGCUCUCUUUUCCUAUCCCAGAGGGCUUAGUCCAAGUGCCACGAGUCCCUUCCCAGCCUGGGGAGCUCCCGCCACCACUCUCGCGGCUCCAAGUCACCUUGUCUGCCACCCUGAGAUGGUCCCCACACAUUCACGCAUUCAUUCACACCCCUCGCUCACUGAUUAUUUCCUAGGGCCUACUCCGGGGCCAAGGGCUGCCCAUCCCUUUCCUCGCCCCCAACACAGCUGGAGAAACUGAGGCCAAGUCCUGGAAGCCAGUGGCAACGCCAGCGGAGAAAACCAUUCAACGCCCUCCCCCCGCCCACCUGCCCCUCUGUUGGUGAUACUGAGUGACCCUCAGGUCCUCGUGCUGGGUGACUUCGAAUAAAUAACAGAUCAGGGA